ensembl:lncRNA
CUGCCACCCAUUGGUCCCACGCCACGUUCACUAAACCCAUGGCCCCGAUAUUGUGCCACAAAUCUUGUGUCAAAAAAAAAAAGUGCCACAAUACUUUUGUUCUUGUCGAAACAGACUGGAAACGUGUAAAUCCCCAAAUGGGCGUGGGGGGGGGCAUUGAAACCCUUCAGAGUCAGCUCUGGCUAAAAGCGCCAACUCAACUCUUGCAAACCGGGCUCGUCAACGAGCGGUAACCUGCAAACAGGACGCCGAUAAUAAACAGAUCGAUGACUGAACUAGGCGGGUCUUCCUUCUGGAGAGACGCCGAGAGAGAUGGUCCGGGAAAGGAAAAACUGGUACAGCUCCUCCGGAUCGAUGGCGGGAGUCCAGGGAGAAACAGAUCAGCAGAGCCGCUUGGUUACUCUCGUCUCUCAGGUCCCCCUCGCCACGCGCAGCGCGGCGCAUCUUCAUCUUCCUCCUCCUCCUCCCGGCAUCAACAAAGGGACUCCGCGCGCGUCCCCGCCCGUUCCCGCCUAGCCUAGAAUAACGGGGGGGGGGAUUCCAGGGGGCGGCGCUCGGCCACGGACCGUCCGGCGAGGGCGACGGGGAGAAGCGCCGCGCACACACACACACGCCUCUCCCCGGCAAACUUAACAGGGCUCGUCUCGUGCUAGGUGGUGAGAGGCACCUCCUUUCCUAGCCGCGGGGAGGCGACCAAGGUCGGCGAGGAACUUGCAGGGAAGGGAGUGGGAAGGAAGAAAGCACGGAACCCGCGAGGGAGAAAGGGAGGCAAGAGGCGAGGAGGCACUUGGCGGGCGAGAGCACGGCGGGGGGCAUCAUCCCUCGCGCGUCCUGAGCUUUAGGGCGAGCGACGCCCCAGCAGCCGCCCCCUCCCCCGAGGGAAGCCGAGACUCAAUGCUUUGUUUUACAAGAAAUUUAUUGGUAAUUUGCCUCUGAAAAAAGGGACACUUAUUGCUCGUAACAAGCCUAUGGUACCCUGCCUUCAAGAAAUCAGGAGUUGGAAUCAGAUGUUUUCAUGUCUAAUUAUUGGAGGUUUAUCCUGUGCAAGGAAACCAGCAGUUGCAACUGUUUUUCAAAAGAGAACCAGACUAAUGAUGGGAAAGAUGACAUGGACCACCGCAUUGUGGUGUCAGACAUCAUCCGGCUUGUGCAGGAUAAACAGAAGGUGCUGGCCAUACAGGAAGGUAGAGUCAGAUACUAAUUCCAACAUUUUGUCAGGCCAAAAUGUUUUGAGCAGCAUUUCACAAUUUAAAAAAAAUCUGUGUGAAUGAUAAGACUUCAGUCCUAUGCACACAUAUAUGGGAAUUUAUCCCAUUCAUUACACUGCUCCUUUCUUACUUGAGAGUAAGCAUGCAUAGGGUUGCUCUGCAAAGGAAUACUGAGUUUAAAAUGGAACAGCCAGGAAAGGGCUAGCUGCAUGUCUGUUAAAAUAAUCCAAGGUUGCAGAUGGAUGGGAGGCUUUUUGUGGGUGAUUUGUCCACAGAUAAAGCCCAGAUAAAUGGCUAGAAUACAUUCUUAAAAUGGAACUUAUCCCCAGUGGACUAAAAAGAACUUUGUAAUGGAGAAAAGACCAUAAGGCACUGAUACGGUUGCUUUCUUUAGAAAUCUGAAGAACUUGUCAACUAACCAAGGGAGCAAGUUAAUUUCCUUGUGCUCUAAAGGAGCAGCACCUGAAGAGAUGGAUCUGAAAUAGGAAAAAAUCAAGGAAAAUAUUAUGAUAGCAAAAACUGGUCAGCAGUUAAACAGAAUAUCUCAUGAUGGCAGUUGACACUUCUUCUUAGAAUAUAUUUUAGCAGAGGCUUGUUGGGCACUUAUUGAGGACGUUACAAUAUUGGAUUCUCUGCAUUAUCAGAGAGUUGGUUUAGUUUAUCUUCAAAAUCCUUUCCAACUUUGUGAAUCUAAAUGCUGUAAUGCCUGCUGCAAUAGUGGACGCACGUUUGUAUGAUAUAUCUUUUGUAUGCUCAAUGCCUUUCCAGCAAGGUUCCCUCUAAGGUGCAUGGCUGCUUUAGGGUGCAGUGCUGCACCCUCAUCAGCACAGCAUUCCUCCUCCUCCAUGCACCCACAGCGAGGAUUUCCGGCCCCUUUGGAUUUGGUUGCAGCAGAACCUGGAGUCAUGUGUGGAGGCGGAGUCAUGCACACAAGGAGUGGAGCCCCACCCAGAAGGGCUGAAAAUUAGCAAGAAUGUUGCUUCCUAGUCUAGUCCCUAAAGCAGGAGUCCCCAACCCCCGGUCCAUGGUUUGGUGCCGGUCCAUGGUUUGGACCGCCCCGCUCGCCCAUCCCCCCCUGCACGCACUCUCUUGGUGCACGCCCACCGGCACGCACAGCCCGGCCACCCAUCCAUGCAUGUGCCCCCACCCAUGCAUGCGUGAGCACGUGCCCCACCCGGCCGUGAGCGUUCCCUGCCUACCCAUAAGUGUGGGGGUGCCCUGCCCCCCAUGCAUGGACCCCCCCCUCCCAACCAGUCUGUGAUUCGGAAAAGGUUUGGGACCACUGCCUUAGAGUACUGGAUAGCAAAUUCUAAAGUUGCAAGUAUGGCAUGAAACAUUAAUCCUUAUUCAUGGUGAAGGAAAGGGAUUAAUCAACUAAUUUUACUCUACCGUGAGAGGUAUCUUGAUAUUGGGAAUGCAGAUAAGCCAAAGCAGUAGUAACAAUUGUAUUUUAUUGUGUGAAUUGCUGAAUGUUUUUCUGUGUCAGUGCAUGUAUUUGUGCAUGCUUGGGUAUGUACAUAUGUUUGUGCACAUCUGCAUUUAUUGUGUGUUAUUAUGUAAUCUGGGACCUAUAACAUUUUGAUUCUUGAUUUAUAACGUAGUAUGAUGUCUAUACUGAUAAUUUAUUUUUAAAUUAAUAACAUUUUAAAAACUUACCUGAAAUGCUGCACAUUGACAGCUGCAUAUGCAUUUUUGCUUGGAAUAAAUCCCAUUGAGCUCAAGGAGACCUAUGUCUG